AUUGAACGCUGGCGGCAUGCCUUACACAUGCAAGUCGAACGGUAACAGGUCUUCGGAUGCUGACGAGUGGCGAACGGGUGAGUAAUGCAUCGGAACGUGCCCAGUAGUGGGGGAUAGCCCGGCGAAAGCCGGAUUAAUACCGCAUACGACCUGAGGGAGAAAGGGGGGGAUCGCAAGACCUCUCGCUAUUGGAGCGGCCGAUGUCAGAUUAGCUAGUUGGUGGGGUAAAGGCCUACCAAGGCAACGGUCUGUAGUUGGUCUGAGAGGACGACCAGCCACACUGGGACUGAGACACGGCCCAGACUCCUACGGGAGGCAGCAGUGGGGAAUUUUGGACAAUGGGCGCAAGCCUGAUCCAGCAAUGCCGCGUGCAGGAAGAAGGCCUUCGGGUUGUAAACUGCUUUUGUCAGGGAAGAAAUCUUCUGGGUUAAUACCUCGGGAGGAUGACGGUACCUGAAGAAUAAGCACCGGCUAACUACGUGCCAGCAGCCGCCGUAAGAC
rnacentral:rRNA from 1 species